GGCAAAGUUGUUUUGGAGCAACGUGCGUUAUGUAUUGCAAAUAUCUGACUGAAUUGACAUGAAUUGCACUAAAGGACUGUACAAGAACAGAAUCGUACAUACGUGCAGGUGUAUACGAAGUGAAUAAUCUGUUAAGAGAGACGAUGACGGUGAGCUUGUAUCAGCAACUUGUGUAUAAAAUUACUAGAUCUGUGGAAUUACUGUCCUCGUGAUGAUCAAGGUAAUGCCAAUUUGUUCAUACUGAUAUCAGUAUGGUCAAUGUCGGAAGUUAAGCUUGCAAGGUCAUCCACCAAAAUCCAAAAGUGAGCCCCCAGACAGGGAUGACCGUCCGAAUGUGUCCGCUUACUCAACUUGGAAAGGGGAAGUAAUGUAUACUAGUUUUGAAAGAGGUGUACUCAAUGUAUAAACAGCUGAUAACCAAGUGACUGAAACAGAAGAGUCUGUAUCUCAUAGUCAUUGCCUCAGUUGACCUGAACUAGAAGAUGUCAAAACAUUUCAGUGAAAUCUCAGGAAAUGAAAUCAUCACAGCUAUCACAAAACAAAGACUGGAGUUCAGUGAAAGAGUUCAACACUUUGGAUAAAAUUAAUGAGGCAGUGACUUUCAUCUUCCAUGAAUCUAUAAGCACUUAAGACUACAGUUUUAUCAUGUUUAUGUUUCAGUAUAAGAAACUACUAAACAAAGGACAGUCGUUGACUACAAAAGAAAACCUGGGUUGACUUGUGAUAUUCUGUGUAACAGACCUGUUUACUCUUACGAUUUCGCCGUAUUUUGUACGGAUUUUCAGUCCAAAAUACGUCUCACGUUUUGCUAUAACGAAAAUACGGAAAUCCGUUCAUAUGGAUUUUAGCAGUUAGUUUUCGUUAUCUGUCUCAGUUUGACGCUUUUUAUUCGCUAAAAAAGGUAAAAAUUUCAAACAUUUAAGUCGCCAAAAUGCGGUGGUUUAAAAAAUGACAGAAAUCACUCAAAAGAAAGCAGGGUAUGAUGUUUUGCUUUGUUACUAAACCAUGU